rnacentral:misc_RNA from 1 species
UAAUACAUAAACCUCAGAUUAAUAAACAAACGGCAGAUGGAGCGCGCCGAACAUGCGAGUGAAGCCACCAAAGCGAAUACAAAAUCAAAAGCGAAUACAAAGUCGCAGCAGUGCUAAAGAUAGUGUCGUAUUGUUUAAACGUCUCGAGUGAUUCAUUAUUUUGUGUCAAAAAAUGCCGUCUUGUGUUAUUAAACAUUGUAAAAAUUGUUCCCAAAAAUAAAAAAAAGAGGAUGGAAUUUUAUUUCACAGAUGUUGUUCUACGCGAGGAAUGGGUUUCUAUUAUUCGCCAAAGCAGGCAAGACAAUAAUUGGCAGGCUUCAAAAUUUUGCGUUGUGUGUUCAUUACAUUUUAAAGAGGAUGGCUAAUGCUUUACCGAAAAAUGUCGUAGGUUGAUAAAAAAAAAUUCCAAUGUAAUUAUUUGUAAUACUAUCUAAUCUUUUGGUCUAGUCUUUAAGUUGUCUGUAUAUCGAUGUAUGUGUGUGUGUGAAUAAAUGAUGAUGAUGAUUAUUAUUAUUAAUAAAUAUUUUAAAUUAUGUAUGUUUUUUUUAAUUUGUCUAAUGAAAUAAAUAUGAUACAACUGAAAAACACUAAA